rnacentral:rRNA from 1 species
AGGGGAAGUCGGUGAUCCUAUGCUGCCAAGAAAAUCUUCUAGCGAGGUUCGAGCCGCCCGUACCCCAAACCGACUCAGGUGGUUAGGUAGAGAAUACCAAGGCGAUCGAGUGAAUCGUGGUUAAGGAAUUCGGCAAAAUACCCCCGUAACUUCGGGAGAAGGGGGGCCCAGAGGGUGACGGGACUUGCUCCCCGAGCCUGAACGGCCGCAGAGACCAGGGAGAAGCGACUGUUUACUAAAAACACAGGUCCGUGCCAAGUCGCAAGACGAUGUAUACGGACUGACGCCUGCCCGGUGCUGGAACGUUAAGGGGACCGGUUAGCCUCACGGCGAAGCUGAGAACUUAAGCGCCAGUGAACGGCGGUGAUAACUAUAACCAUCCUAAGGUAGCGAAAUUCCUUGUCGGGUAAGCUCCGACCUGCACGAAUGGCGUAACGAUUUCUCCACUGUCUCAACCACGAACUCGGCGAAAUUGCACUACGAGUAAAGAUGCUCGUUACGCGCAGAAGGACGGAAAGACCCCGGGACCUUUACUACAGCUUGGUAUUGGUGUUCGGUACGGCUUGUGUAGGAUAGGUGGGAGACUGUGAAGCUGACACGCCAGUGACGGUGGAGUCAACGUUGAAAUACCACUCUGGUCGUUCUGGAUAUCUAACCUAGGUCCGUGAUCCGGAUCAGGGACAGUGCCUGGUGGGUAGUUUAACUGGGGCGGUUGCCUCCUAAAAGGUAACGGAGGCGCCCAAAGGUUCCCUCAGCCUGGUUGGCAAUCAGGUUUUGAGUGUAAGUGCACAAGGGAGCUUGACUGUGAGACUGACAAGUCGAACAGGGACGAAAGUCGGGACUAGUGAUCCGGCGGUGGCUUGUGGAAGCGCCGUCGCUCAACGGAUAAAAGGUACCCCGGGGAUAACAGGCUGAUCUUGCCCAAGAGUCCAUAUCGACGGCAUGGUUUGGCACCUCGAUGUCGGCUCGUCGCAUCCUGGGGCUGGAGUAGGUCCCAAGGGUUGGGCUGUUCGCCCAUUAAAGCGGUACGCGAGCUGGGUUUAGAACGUCGUGAGACAGUUCGGUCCCUAUCCUCUGCGCGCGCAGGAAACUUGAGAAGGGCUGUCCCUAGUACGAGAGGACCGGGAUGGACGAACCUCUGGUGUGUCAGUUGUUCUGCCAAGAGCACCGCUGAUUAGCUACGUUCGGGAGUGAUAACCGCUGAAAGCAUCUAAGCGGGAAGCAUGCUUCAAGAUGAGGUUUCCAUGGGGUUUACCCCGAGAGGCUCCCAGCUAGACUACUGGGUUGAUAGGCCGGAUGUGGAAGUGCGGUAACGCAUGGAGCUGACCGGUACUAAUAAGCCGAUAACUUGCC